rnacentral:rRNA from 1 species
CCUACGGGUGGCAGCAGUGAGGAAUAUUGGUCAAUGGACGAGAGUCUGAACCAGCCAAGUAGCGUGAAGGAUGACUGCCCUAUGGGUUGUAAACUUCUUUUAUAUGAGAAUAAAACGUUCCACGUGUGGGCUUUUGUAUGUACCCUAUGAAUAAGGAUCGGCUAACUCCGUGCCAGCAGCCGCGGUAAUACGGAGGAUCCGAGCGUUAUCCGGAUUUAUUGGGUUUAAAGGGAGCGUAGGUGGAUUGUUAAGUCAGUUGUGAAAGUUUGCGGCUCAACCGUAAAAUUGCAGUUGAAACUGGCAGUCUUGAGUAGAGUAGAGGUGGGCGGAAUUCGUGGUGUAGCGGUGAAAUGCUUAGAUAUCACGAAGAACUCCGAUUGCGAAGGCAGCUUACUGGACUGCAACUGACACUGAUGCUCGAAAGUGUGGGUAUCAAACAGGAUUAGAUACCCUGGUAGUC